GACGAACGCUGGCGGCGUGCUUAACACAUGCAAGUCGAACGGAAAGGCCCUGCUUGUGUGGGGUGCUCGAGUGGCGAACGGGUGAGUAACACGUGAGUACCUGCCCUUGACUUUGGGAUAACUUCAGGAAACUGGGGCUAAUACCGGAUAGGAGCUCCUGCUGCAUGGUGGGGGUUGGAAAGUUUCGGCGGUUGGGGAUGGACUCGCGGCUUAUCAGCUUGUUGGUGGGGUAGUGGCUUACCAAGGCUUUGACGGGUAGCCGGCCUGAGAGGGUGACCGGCCACAUUGGGACUGAGAUACGGCCCAGACUCCUACGGGAGGCAGCAGUGGGGAAUAUUGCACAAUGGGCGGAAGCCUGAUGCAGCAACGCCGCGUGCGGGAUGACGGCCUUCGGGUUGUAAACCGCUUUCGCCUGUGACGCAGCGUGAGUGACGGUAAUGGGUAAAGAAGCACCGGCUAACUACGUG
rnacentral:rRNA from 1 species